rnacentral:rRNA from 1 species
ACGGAGGGUGCGAGCGUUAAUCGGAAUCACUGGGCGUAAAGCGCACGUAGGCGGUGUCGUAAGUCGGAUGUGAAAGCCCUCGGCUCAACCGGGGAACUGCAUUCGAUACUGCGAUGCUUGAGUGCCGGAGAGGGUGGCGGAAUUCCAGGUGUAGGAGGGAAAUGCGUAGAUAUCUGGAGGAAUACCAGUGGCGAAGGCGUCCACCUGGCCGGGAUCUGGCGCUGAGGUGCGAAAGCGUGGUGAUCAAACAG